rnacentral:tRNA from 1 species
UCUAAUGUGGCAGAAAAAUGCAUCAAGCUUAAGAUUUGAAAAUAAAUAAUUAUAUUUUAUUAGAA